UACGUAGGGCGCGAGCGUUGUCCGGAUUUAUUGGGCGUAAAGAGCUCGUAGGCGGCUUGUCGCGUCGACUGUGAAAACCCGUGGCUCAACCAUGUGGUCUGCAGUCGAUACGGGCAGGCUAGAAUUCGGUAGGGGAGACUGGAAUUCCUGGUGUAGCGGUGAAAUGCGCAGAUAUCAGGAGGAACACCGGUGGCGAAGGCGGGUCUCUGGGCCGAUAUUGACGCUGAGGAGCGAAAGCGUGGGGAGCAAACAGG
rnacentral:rRNA from 1 species